rnacentral:rRNA from 1 species
AGCGAACGCUGGCGGCAUGCUUAACACAUGCAAGUCGCACGGGCAGCAAUGUCAGUGGCGGACGGGUGAGUAACGCGUAGGAACGUGUCCUGAGGUGGGGGACAACCCCGGGAAACUGGGGCUAAUACCGCAUAUGGGCUGAGGCCCAAAGCCGAGAGGCGCCUUUGGAGCGGCCUGCGUCCGAUUAGGUAGUUGGUGGGGUAAAGGCCUACCAAGCCUGCGAUCGGUAGCUGGUCGGAGAGGACGCCCAGCCACACUGGGACUGGGCCACGGCCCAGACGCCCGCGGGCGGCGGAGAGUGGGACAUUGGGGCCAGAGGCCAGAUCCAGCCCCGCCGCGGCCGGGAGGGCGGAGAAGGUCUUGGGAUCGGAAAGCCCUUUCGACGGGGCGGGAGGGACGGUAACCGGUAAAGAAGCCCCCGCUAACCUUGUG